GCUUCCCUCUUUCUUCGUGCCUAAUACAUGCAAGUCGAGCGAACGGACGAGGAGCUUGCUCCUCUGAUGUUAGCGGCGGACGGGUGAGUAACACGUGGAUAACCUACCUAUAAGACUGGGAUAACUUCGGGAAACCGGAGCUAAUACCGGAUAAUAUAUUGAACCGCAUGGUUCAAUAGUGAAAGACGGUCUUGCUGUCACUUAUAGAUGGAUCCGCGCCGCAUUAGCUAGUUGGUAAGGUAACGGCUUACCAAGGCAACGAUGCAUAGCCGACCUGAGAGGGUGAUCGGCCAAACUGGAACUGAGACGCGGUACAGACUCCUGAGGGAGGCAGCAGUAGGGAAUCUUCCGCAAUGGGCGAAAGCCUGACGGAGCAACGCCGCGUGAGUGAUGAAGGUCUUCGGAUCGUAAAACUCUGUUAUUAGGGAAGAACAUAUGUGUAAGUAACUGUGCACAUCUUGACGGUACCUAAUCAGAAAGCCACGGCUAACUACGUG
rnacentral:rRNA from 1 species